CAAUCGGCCCUUUUCAGGGCCACCAAUAAUUCUAACGUAAAUCAU
rfam:Nasonia vitripennis chromosome 5 unlocalized genomic scaffold Chr5_random003, whole genome shotgun sequence.